rnacentral:rRNA from 1 species
ACGAACGCUGGCGGCGUGCUUAACACAUGCAAGUCGAGCGACGCUCUUCCUUCGGGGAGAUGACGGAGCGGCGAACGGGUGAGUAACACGUGGGCAACCUGCCCCUAGCUCUGGGACAACACCGGGAAACCGGUGCUAAUACCGGAUACGACAUCGAGCGGCAUCUCUCGAUGUGGAAAGUUUUUUCGGCUAGGGAUGGGCCCGCGGCCUAUCAGCUUGUUGGUGGGGUAAUGGCCCACCAAGGCGACGACGGGUAGCCGGCCUGAGAGGGCGACCGGCCACACUGGGACUGAGACACGGCCCAGACUCCUACGGGAGGCAGCAGUGGGAAAUAUUGCGCAAUGGGCGAAAGCCUGACGCAGCGACGCCGCGUGAGGGAUGACGGCCUUCGGGUUGUAAACCUCUUUCAGCAGGGACGAAUUCAGACGGUACCUGCAGAAGAAGCACCGGCCAACUACGUG